rnacentral:rRNA from 1 species
CCUACGGGUGGCAGCAGUGGGGAAUAUUGCGCAAUGGGCGAAAGCCUGACGCAGCGACGUCGCGUGAGGGAUGAAGGUCCUCGGAUCGUUAACCUCUGUCAGUAGGGGAGUAAGGUCACUGUCCUAAUCAGCUUUGCAUUUACGGUAUCUGUAAAGGAAGCACCGGUGAACUCCGUGCCAGCAGCUGCGGUAAUACGGAGGGUGCGUGCGUUAUCCGGUUUUAUUGGGUGGAAGGGGGGCGCAGACGGCGAUGCAAGCCAGGAGUGAAAGGCCGGGGCCCAACCCCGGGACUGCUCUUGGAACUGGGGGGCUUGAGUGCGGGGAGGGCAGGCGGAAUUCCUGGUGUAGCGGUGAAAUGCUUAGAUAUCACGAGGAACACCGGUGGCGAAGGCAGCCUGCUGGACUGCAACUGACGUUGAGGCCCGAAAGCGUGGGGAGCAAACAGGAUUAGAUACCCCAGUAGUC